rnacentral:rRNA from 1 species
ACGGAAGGCAGCAGUGGGGAAUAUUGCACAAUGGGGGAAACCCUGAUGCAGCGACGCCGCGUGAGUAAAGAAGUACUUCGGUAUGUAAAGCUCUAUCAGCAGGGAAGAAAGUGACGGUACCUGAGUAAGAAGCCCCGGCUAACUACGUGCCAGCAGCCGCGGUAAUACGUAGGGGGCAAGCGUUAUCCGGAUUUACUGGGUGUAAAGGGAGCGUAGACGGAGCAGCAAGUCUGGAGUGAAAACCCGGGGCUCAACCCCGGGACUGCUUUGGAAACUGUUGUUCUAGAGUGCUGGAGAGGUAAGUGGAAUUCCUAGUGUAGCGGUGAAAUGCGUAGAUAUUAGGAGGAACACCAGUGGCGAAGGCGGCUUGCUGGACAGUAACUGACGUUGAGGCUCGAAAGCGUGGGGAGCAAACAGGAUUAGAUACCCUGGUA